rnacentral:rRNA from 1 species
AGUGGGGAAUAUUGCACAAUGGAGGAAACUCUGAUGCAGCAACGCCGCGUGGAGGAUGACGCAUUUCGGUGUGUAAACUCCUUUUAUAUAGGAAGAUAAUGACGGUACUAUAUGAAUAAGCACCGGCUAACUCCGUGCCAGCAGCCGCGGUAAUACGGAGGGUGCAAGCGUUACUCGGAAUCACUGGGCGUAAAGCGCAUGCAGGCGGUUUAUUAAGUUGGAAGUGAAAUCCUAUGGCUCAACCAUAGAACUGCUUCCAAAACUGAUAAACUAGAGUCUGGGAGGGGAAGAUGGAAUUAGUAGUGUAGGGGUAAAAUCCGUAGAGAUUACUAGGAAUACCAAAAGCGAAGGCGAUCUUCUGGAACAGUACUGACGCUGAGAUGCGAAAGCGUGGGGAGCAAACAGGAUUAGAUACCCUGGUAGUCCACGCAGUAAACGAUGAAUGUUAGUCGUUGGGACUCUAGUAGUUUCAGUGAUGCAGUUAACACAUUAAACAUUCCGCCUGGGGAGUACGGUCGCAAGAUUAAAACUCAAAGGAAUAGACGGGGACCCGCACAAGUGGUGGAGCAUGUGGUUUAAUUCGAAGAUACGCGAAGAACCUUACCUAGCCUUGACAUACUACAGAAUUUGACAGAGAUGUUGAAGUGGCUUCGGGAGCUGUAAUACAGGUGCUGCACGGCUGUCGUCAGCUC